CAGGGAGAAAGAUGCCAUGGACACAGGUGGGAGAAAGAUGCCAUGGACACAGGUGGGAGAAAGAUGCCAUGGACACAGGUGGGAGAAAGAUGCCAUGGACACAGGUGGGAGAAAGAUGCCAUGGACACAGGUGGGAGAAAGAUGCCAUGGACACAGGUGGGAGAAAGAUGCCAUGGACACAGGUGGGAGAAAGAUGCCAUGGACACAGGUGGGAGAAAGAUGCCAUGGACACAGGUGGGAGAAAGAUGCCAUGGACACAGGUGGGAGAAAGAUGCCAUGGACACAGGUGGGAGAAAGAUGCCAUGGGGGAAAGAUCCUGAAUCUCCUCAUGGUCCCCUCACUAUAUGUUGAGGUAAGAAUCAGAGUAUAAUGUUUGUAUGGAUGUCAACCCACUAACACAUGUUCCUGUCAUCAUCACCAAAUCAACUGCAUUACAGUAACAAAAGGACUUUGACGAACACAGAUCGUUGAUGCUACAAGCUCAUAAGAGCCAGGAUGUUAGCGUUCAGCAGUUACUUCUUCUCAACAGGGAAAGGGACAACUUCAAAAAUGUGUCAUGCAGAGGAAACAGACAAAUAUUUCGAAACCACUUUGUGGGCCUGUUACAUCACAAAUCACACGACGGAUUGGACGAAUAUAUCCACUUGGUUGGAUCAGAUUUGUUGAAUGUGAGCCAAUGACGCGUCCUGCGUUCCAGUGACCUCUUUUCCCACAUCUGUGCUUGAAUCCAGUUCUACAGAUUCUGAAUUUGGUUUUAAUUUAUUAUAUAUGAACAUUCCACCCCCCCCCCCUCCUCCAAAUUCACUGUGUACAGAAACAUUGGUUCAUUAAAAUCAUUGAGUUACGUGG